GGCUGGUGCUGGUGCUGCCGCCUGGCCUCCCCGCCGGACGGAGCGCAGGGCGGCGGGUGCGCUCGCAGCAGGCCGGGCGGCCGAUCCAUGUCGGUGAAAGGAAGUGGCCCCCUUUCCAAUCCGACUUCAUCCCCUGUACCCAGCCGCCGCACCGACAUCUCCCCGCCGCACGAAAUCCGAAGGCAUCUCUUGAUCAGACGCCAAAGCGGCCCACUUGCCUUGCCACAUGGAGACAAGCCCUCAUCCCUUCUUUUUUCAAUUAUUAUUUGUUGGCUUAAAUUUCUUCCUCCCUUUAUUUUGUUCUGUUGCAGGCAAAUAAACUUUCCCUAAGAGG